UGUCAAUAAUGACCAUACAUUACUUUUAUAAUCAGAAAAUAAGAUAUCAUUGCAAAGAUAAAGAAUCUUCCUUUGUUAUUUUUGUAUGCUAUCCAUUUAAAUAGGCUUAAUAGCAUUUUAGUCUUUUUGUCUUGCAAUUUGCUUUGUCUGCCUGACAUUUAUAGGCUGUGUAGGUCCAAGUCACUUAACCUCUCUGGAUCUCAAUUUCCUCAUCUGUGAAGAAUGAAUAUUAAUAUGAACUUCAGAUGAGCUAUUGAGGAGAAUGAAAUGAGAACGUUUCAGUCUGAAUACAAAGUGUGACCCUAAAAUACCUGACUAUGGAAAUGCUGGCUCCUGGACCCCAACGCAGAAAUCCACCAAAUCUGUCAGUGUGAGACCUGUGGGCCUAUAUUUUCAACAAGCUAACCCAGAAGAAGAGGCAAAGUCUUGGCGUAGGACUGGAUGUAUAUCCAUACUUGGUGUGCAUAGGGCUCGACGCUACGAUGCUAUGUAGAUGCUGAGUCUCCUGCUUUUUGAAUAAAAGUGUUGUCAUAGAAUUACUGUUGACUCA
rnacentral:lncRNA from 1 species